GGAGGUCGUGAGUUCGGGCACUGCUCGUGCCAUGGUCGCGUCAAACCUAAGACGUUAAAAUAGGUAGUGAUUGCUCCUUUGCCAAACGCUGGGCAUUUUGAAGCUAGAAGCAAGAAUCACGGAUCUUUUGGAUAUGAUAUUAAAAACGGAUUAAUCAAAGCAGCACAGCCUAGGUGACACAGCCGCAAUACAUUCCAGAUGGAUGAGGAAAUGACUAUCAUUAGAAUCUGUCAAGACAUAAAAAAAACACCAUAGGAAACAUGGAUGAAAAAAUGGCUAUCAUUACAAUCUGUCAAGACAUCAAAGGCAAAAAACAUAGGAAAUAUUUCCGGAACGAGUCAUUAUAAAAGACGUUUGAAACGAAUAAUUGUUGAUAUUGUGCAGCAAAGGAAUCCGAAAUGAUAAAGCACA